rnacentral:misc_RNA from 1 species
CGAAAUGCGAUAAGUAAUGUGAAUUGCAGAGUUUUGUGAAUCAUCGAAUCUUUGAACGCACAUUGCGCCCCUCGGUAUUCCGACGGGCAUGCCUGUCCGAGCGUCGUUCGCAAAACAUCGAGUAAGCUACUCGGUCUUGGGCCUCGUCCCGCGUUAGUCGGGACGGUCCCUUAAGUCCUCGGCGGCCCCGGGCGCCCGACGGAGCGUUUUCGAAAGCAGCCGCUCCGCGCGAGGCGCCUCCGGGGACUCCUGCCUCCCUCUAACGCGUACGUGCAUCUUUAAGAGGUUUGACCUCGGAUCAGGUAGGGCUACCCGCUGAACUUAAGC